rnacentral:rRNA from 1 species
UACAGAGGGGGCAAGCGUUGUUCGGAAUUACUGGGCGUAAAGGGCGCGUAGGCGGCCUGCUAAGUCGAACGUGAAAUCCCUGGGCUCAACCCAGGAACUGCGUCCGAUACUGGUUGGCUUGAAUCCGGGAGAGGGAUGUGGAAUUCCAGGUGUAGCGGUGAAAUGCGUAGAUAUCAGGAGGAAUACCGAUGGCGAAGGCAGGUCCCUGGGCCAAUACUGACGCUCAUGCACGAAAGCGUGGGGAGCAAACAGG